GUACUGCUGAGGAGUUCUCCAAUAGGACGAAACGGCCGUCCAGUGC
rfam:Schistosoma curassoni strain Dakar, Senegal genome assembly, scaffold: SCTD_scaffold0000587